rnacentral:tRNA from 2 species
GGAGAAGUCGCCUAGCUUGGUCGAGGGCGCGCGACUGGAAAUCGCGUAGGCGUCAAAAGCGUCUCGAGAGUUCGAAUCUCUCCUUCUCCGCCA